rnacentral:tRNA from 1 species
UCCCAGGUGGCUCAGUGGUAAAGAAUCUGCCUGCCAAUGCAGGAGACACUGGUUCAAUCCCCGGUCCUGGGAA